rnacentral:lncRNA from 1 species
GCAGAACAAUUAUUUAUAUGGUGGAGAGACGUUUUUAACAUGGAAAGAGGAGGGGGAUUGGGAGUGUAUGUUUUUAUAUCAUUUAUAAAACGUAGUUGGAAAUGACCAUAAAACACGUUAUUUUGGCAUGACCCAUGGAUAGGUGUAGUGUUGAAGGACAAUUCUCGUAGGUUUUUUAAUCUACCGAUUAAUAAAAAUGUCAUGGUGGAAGGAAUGUUAAAUGAUAGUGUAUUGAUGUUAGGCGAGAGGG